rnacentral:rRNA from 1 species
CAGUCGUACCUGCGGAUAAUCAGCUUUUUGAGUGUGAUUAUGUGGUUUAUGGGGAGUUUAACCGCCUUCAUGCCUGCAUAUUCGUGCUCUUGGGUGUACUUGCUCGUGUGGUAAGUUAACAUCAAUUUUGAUGAUCAUAAAAUGACUAGAGGAAUGUAGCUCCGAUCUCGUAUUGAAGUGUUAUAGCCUUUGGUAGAUGUGACGAUUGGGAUCGAGGAUUGCAACGAAUACCCUUUGGGCUAUCCGUCUGACCUCUG